UUUGGGGUUUGGGGUUUGUGAUUUAGGGUUUGGGGUUUUAGGGUUUGGGAUUAAGGUUUAGGGGUUAAGGACUUAGGGGUUGGGUAUUUAGGGGUUGGGGUUUGAGAUAUAAGGAUUAGGUACUCAAGUUAGGGAUGGUUGCUUAUAUUAAUUAGUUUUCAUAAUUUAUAUUACAAUAAAUUAAUUUAAUAUAUUUAAAUUAUGAG
rnacentral:lncRNA from 1 species